rnacentral:rRNA from 1 species
AUAACUCAGGGAAACUUGUGCUAAUACCGAAUGUGCCCUUCGGGGGAAAGAUUUAUCGCCAUUAGAGCGGCCCGCGUCUGAUUAGCUAGUUGGUAGUGUAACGGACUACCAAGGCGACGAUCAGUAGCUGGUCUGAGAGGAUGAUCAGCCACAUUGGGACUGAGACACGGCCCAAACUCCUACGGGAGGCAGCAGUGGGGAAUCUUGCGCAAUGGGCGAAAGCCUGACGCAGCCAUGCCGCGUGAAUGAUGAAGGUCUUAGGAUUGUAAAAUUCUUUCACCGGGGACGAUAAUGACGGUMCCCGGAGAAGAAGCCCCGGCUAACUUCGUGCCAGCAGCCGCGGUAAUACGAAGGGGGCUAGCGUUGCUCGGAAUUACUGGGCGUAAAGGGAGCGUAGGCGGACAUUUAAGUCAGGGGUGAAAUCCCGGGGCUCAACCUCGGAAUUGCCUUUGAUACUGGAUGUCUUGAGUGUGAGAGGGGUAUGUGGAAC